AUUGAACGCUGGCGGCAGGCCUAACACAUGCAAGUCGAGCGGAUGAAGGGAGCUUGCUCCUGGAUUCAGCGGCGGACGGGUGAGUAAUGCCUAGGAAUCUGCCUGGUAGUGGAGGAUAACGUCCGGAAACGGGCGCUAAUACCGCAUACGUCCUGAGGGAGAAAGUGGGGGAUCUUCGGACCUCACGCUAUCAGAUGAGCCUAGGUCGGAUUAGCUAGUUGGUGGGGUAAAGGCCUACCAAGGCGACGAUCCGUAACUGGUCUGAGAGGAUGAUCAGUCACACUGGAACCGAGACACGGUCCAGACUCCUACGGGAGGCAGCAGUGGGGAAUAUUGGACAAUGGGCGAAAGCCUGAUCCAGCCAUGCCGCGUGUGUGAAGAAGGUCUUCGGAUUGUAAAGCACUUUAAGUUGGGAGGAAGGGCAGUAAGUUAAUACCUUGCUGUUUUGACGUUACCAACAGAAUAAGCACCGGCUAACUUCGUG
rnacentral:rRNA from 1 species